rnacentral:rRNA from 1 species
ACAUGCAAGUCGAGCGAGAAAGGUCUUCGGACUGAGUAGAGCGGCGGACGGGUGAGUAACACGUAGGAAUUUGCCCAGUAGUGGGGGACAACUCGGGGAAACUCGAGCUAAUACCGCAUACGCCUUACGGGGGAAAGCAGGGGAUCUUCGGACCUUGCGCUAUUGGAUAAGCCUGCGUCGGAUUAGCUAGUAGGUGGGGUAAUGGCCCACCUAGGCGACGAUCCGUAGCUGGUC